UACGUAGGGGGCAAGCGUUGUCCGGAAUCAUUGGGCGUAAAGAGCGUGUAGGCGGCCCGAUUAGUCCGCUGUGAAAGUCCAGGGCUCAACCCUGGAAUGCCGGUGGAUACUAUCGGGCUAGAGUCCGGAAGGGGCGAGUGGAAUUCCUGGUGUAGCGGUGAAAUGCGCAGAUAUCAGGAGGAACACCAAUGGCGAAGGCAGCUCGCUGGGACGUGACUGACGCUGAGACGCGAAAGCGUGGGGAGCAAACAGG
rnacentral:rRNA from 1 species